AGACAUGAACUUGGGCAAAAUCAGGGAGAUGGUGAAGGACAGGGAAGCCUGGCGGGCUGCAGCCCGUGAGGUCACAGAGUCAGACACUCCUGAGCCGCUGAACAACAGCAGCCACCAACCCCAGAAUGACUAAAUCAGAAUCUCAGGGUGUGGGGCCUGGAUGCAUAUAAUUCUUCAAAGCUUCACAGGUGGUUCUCCAGGCCAUGGGAGCGGGGUGACUGGUGGACACCCAGCAUGACAAGGUCACAGACUGCGUUACAAGAGCGCCAUUUCUACUCGGAAGUUUCUCUUGCCGUGAGUGGACUCCACGCCAGCUGGGAACCUACACUGUCGUAUCAUAGGGACAUUACGUCCUUGAGGUUCAGAUGUUUAAGAGGCUCAGCAGACAUCCACAUGGGGCACUUGAUUUGCCAUGAUUGUGACAAAUUUGAUUACUGGUCAGUGGAUUUUCCCUACCUCUCCUGCCACUGGCAUCCAUGGGAAGAAUAUACCUCCCUGCUUUGGUGGCAUUGGACUUGAUAUGGCCAAAGAGGGCGGAAGUGGCAAGGUCAAGUCCCCAGCCUGGUCCUGAAGAGCCACCAUCCUUGUUCUUGUGUUUCUGCUGUUCUCAUGGAAAAGACAAGGCGUGGAUAGCUGACUGGUCCCAGAUAACAACAGGGAUGUCUCCAUGCCCUCAGUAUUUCUGAAAGCCUCUGGGGAUGCCUCGUGUGUCAUCACAAACCAGGUCAGAGCAGCUGCAGUGUGUCUUUGGGACACCCACAGCCUCCCGGCCGACAGGAACCGCAUUGCCUUUGGUACACAAGCCUUAGGAUGGACUAUGAGCCUGUAGAAAAGCUGGAAAUCCCCCCUCGCCUGAGCCACGAGAUGCUUUGUCUUCGGGGCCUGAAGCAGUGCUGCAUGUCUGUGUGUCACUUCCGCUUUUGUGGGAAGAAGUCAAGAGAACAAUGCUUCUGGGAGAGGAGAAGGUCUUAUAUUGUGGGUCAUCCAAAAUUCAGGGAGAGAAAGAACGUACCGUGGCCAACGAUUCCACUGUUCAUGCUGCCAGGUUGGGGAAGCACCACCCCUCCAUCUGUGUCCCCGUCUCUUAACCCAGCUGCCCAGGACUGAAGCUGCUCUUGCCCCCUUCUAGUGAAAUAAAGGC
ensembl:lncRNA